UUCCAAAAGAAGGAAAGAAGUGGUUGAUGACUGGUCUUCAUGAUGCUUGGAGGCGACACAAGCAAAAAAUAAAAAGAAUUUUUUUGAUAAAAACAGUACCCUUGAGGAUAUGCUAACAAUUCGUCCCCAUGGCAUUCCAGAUAAUCAGUUCCGCUAGUUAAUCGAGUAUUGGAAACACCCAACUGUUAAAGCAAUAUGCGAGAUGAAUUCCCAAAACAGGAAAAAACAGAAGUGGAGGCAUCGAAUUGGACCUAUAAAUUUUGCAAGAAUACGCGUGGCAUUGUGUGCAGCCAAAGACAACAACGUAGAACCAUCAAAGCCUGAAAUGUUUAUUGCAACUCGUACCAAGACGAAAAAGGAAAUUCAGGCUGAUAUCCAAAUUGCAAUAAUAAGUUUUUUAAAGAGGAGUAGUAGUGAAUUUGAUUCAGACUUAAAAUUUAUAUAUUGUGGGGAGUUUGAAUCCAUUGAAUUUUACUGACAAUUCACUAUGGAUGUCAAUUUUAAUCAAUAGGCUGAACUUCAAAAUCGCCAAAAUUCUGGGGAAACAGCUGAUGAUGCAUUUAGGGAAGUGUUUGGAAUGGAGCAGCCUGUCCGACUUAGGUGCUAUGGUAGAUCUGUGACAACAAGUUCUUUGAGGAAAGAUGAGAAAAUUAACAAUCUAAAACAGAAGUAUGCCAAUGAAAUCACUUCUAUAAAGGAAGAAUUGAGAGAAGAAAUGCGACAUUUAUUCACUCAAUUGCUGCAAAAUAACCCUGGAUUGAAUUUUCAAGAUAUACCAGGGUGUGAUGGAUCUAACAUUGCUUCACCUGUUGAUGCAAGUAGAGCACAAGCUUUAAGAGGAACAAAUCAUCCAUAUUAUUCGGGGUCAGCUCAUGAUUUGGUU